AUUCUAAAGCUAUAUCUCUCACACACUGUGUUAAAAGUACUUUUAAUCUGAAGGAUCUUGAGUGGUGGGCUUACCUCUUUUUUGACUACGACCGAGAUCUGCUCUAUUGCUUUCUUCUUUUUUAAUCUUGAUUUCCUUUUCCUCAUUAUAUAUAUAUAUAUUUUAUCUAUAUAGAUUUCCAUCAUUACUGUAUGAAUUUAUUGCAUGCUGAAUGAUUGAUCCUACUAACUUGAUAUAACGAAGUUUGAAGUUUUGUGUUGAGAAAUAUUGAAAGGGUUAAAUUUACCAUUCUUUGAGUUGUCUAGCAUCAACUUUUUGAGCUUCCGCAUUCUUCAUACAGCUGUGUGAAAGCUCGAUAUUCCUUUGAAUUUAUCGUAAGGGGGUGUAUAAAUCUUCUAUGAGAAGCUUAGAAGCUUGAUUCUUAUAUACUAAACUUAUUAUAGGGCCCACUACCCCUUUAUGCUUUAAACUUAUGGAUAUCAUUUCAAGAUCCAUGAUUUAACAUGCUAGAAGUAGCUAGUCUUGAGUAUUGUUAUUUUUUUCUUCUCAAUUUUGUAUUAGGCUUUGUGUGCUAACACUUGACUUUACUUUCUCCGAUUAGUGGGACCGUAGAUACAUUAGACUAUAGUUUUUAGUGAAGAAUGAAAUUGGCGUAUGGGGAAACGAAAAACAUCAAAGUGGUUGUGUCAAUGUGUUUGCAUCUAUGGUAGGUAAGUACAAUGAAACAAUGUUGUUGUGACGUGAUGUUGCAAUGAUAUCGAUGGGCAAAGGAAAAGAUCACGAACAGGAUUAUAACCGAACCUUCUUGGUUCCAAUAUUCUUCGCUUCUGGGGAACCUUUAGCUCACGACCAUUCCCGAUCUUCCUGAUCUUACUCCAUUGUGGUUGUUUAUGGGGCUUCACCUUUUCCAACUCAAUGUUAAAAUUUCAUAGCCUUGGGAUUGUUGGGAAAUGAAAGGAAAAGAACAAUUAGCUGAUGUGUAGAAAGACAUCUUUAGAGAAUUGCUUCUAGCCCGAUGGAAUAGACAUAUAGGGGUGCUCACGGGUUAGACUCGUGUAACUUGGGUUAAGAAGCCAAACAUAUUCUAGCAUAUGGUUUGCUUAUUUUGAGCUGAGUUUGUUAAUUCCAUGGGUUACAUAAUCCCACUGGUUAUACAAAUCCAAGUUUCCAUAACUGUGAGAUCUCACAUCGGUUGGAGAGAGGAACGAAGCAUUCCUUAAGAGGGUGUGGAUAGGACAAUAUCUACUAGCGGUGGGCUUGAGCUGUUACAAUAACCUACCUAUCCCUCAGUACGUUCUAAACACAAAUAAAUUAUAUAAACUCAGCUUUUCAAUAAACCAACCUUAUUAAAUUGUAUCUUCCUCUUCCUCCUCACAAGAAUCAAAAGCAAGCUCUGUUAUUCAUGUUGGCUCAUUCGUUUUAGAGGAGUAUAGAGGUAAACAAAAGUAAAUUGACAUCUCAAGGGGCCAGCUUACUCAUAUAAGAAUCCAUUGAUUUGACCUCCAAAUUGUUUAGUUGGCCGGAAACGAAAAUAAUUGAUGUCAGGCUUAUGGCUGGGAACAAAUGCGGUGUCAGACAAUCAUUUCUUUGGUCAUGUAGGACAUAGCUUCACUCUUGGUGGGUUUCCUGUGGUUGAACAGCCCUUUAGCCCUUGGCUGAACUCGAGUAACUUUGUGUUAUUAUUUUAUAUUGCUGAAGUUUAAUUGUUUUGUCUCCUUCACACAAAGAUUGAGAUUCGUAUGCACAUUGAUGGAAAGUUGUUGUAUAACUUUUGAUGCUAACGAGAAUGUCGAAAAAAAUUAAAAAAUGAAGAAAUUCACAACAGUAAUCUGAAGUUGAACUAUUGACCUCUUCGUUUGUAUUUUCUUAUGAUUUCUAUGAAUGUGAAUGAGAGGAGUAAAGGUUUAAUGGGUAA